rnacentral:pre_miRNA from 1 species
GUUGUACUCCCUCCGUCCGAAAAAGCUUGUCCCUCAAAUGGAUGUAUCUAGCACCAAGUUAGUGCUAGAUACAUCCAUUUGAGGAACAAGCUUGGGACAAGUUUUUCCAGACGGAGGGAGUAUGCU